AUAAAAGGGGCGCGGCAGGCCGCGGGGGCCACUUGCAACCAGCGUGGCCUGUGCUCCGGCUUUGCAGUUUCUGGCACACCACGCCCUACCAUCCAGCAUCCCACGGCCCUCAGGGACCAGAGACACCGAGGCCUCGAGACUCGCUCAGUCAGCUCGCUUGGGGUAAGGGUCUUGCCUCCUCUCCGGACUGCAACAUCCAGGGGCGGAGCUGGCCCCGCCCAGGAAUCGGACCUAUUAAAGGGGGCUUCUCAGUCGGCAGACCUACUGGGGUCGGUCGGGAGAACUAGGAGCUGAAAGGAAGGAAGACGGAUUAACGUUUCAUUUAAUCUGGUUUGGACAGUGGUUGCCGUCUGG